rnacentral:rRNA from 1 species
UGAUCCAGACUUUGAUUCUGGCUCAGGAUGAACGCUGGCGGCGUGCUUAACACAUGCAAGUCGAACGAAGCAUUUAAGACAGAUUUUUUCGGAAUGAAGUUUUCUAUGACUGAGUGGCGGACGGGUGAGUAACGCGUGGGUAACCUGCCUCACACAGGGGGAUAGCAGUUGGAAACGACUGGUAAUACCGCAUAAGCGCACAGCUUCGCAUGAAGCGGUGUGAAAAACUCCGGUGGUGUGAGAUGGACCCGCGUCUGAUUAGGUAGUUGGUGAGGUAACGGCCCACCAAGCCGACGAUCAGUAGCCGACCUGAGAGGGUGACCGGCCACAUUGGGACUGAGACACGGCCCAGACUCCUACGGGAGGCAGCAGUGGGGAAUAUUGCACAAUGGAGGAAACUCUGAUGCAGCGACGCCGCGUGAGUGAAGAAGUAUUUCGGUAUGUAAAGCUCUAUCAGCAGGGAAGACAGUGACGGUACCUGACUAAGAAGCUCCGGCUAAAUACGUGCCAGCAGCCGCGGUAAUACGUAUGGAGCAAGCGUUAUCCGGAUUUACUGGGUGUAAAGGGAGUGUAGGUGGUAUCACAAGUCAGAAGUGAAAGCCCGGGGCUCAACCCCGGGACUGCUUUUGAAACUGUGGAACUGGAGUGCAGGAGAGGUAAGUGGAAUUCCUAGUGUAGCGGUGAAAUGCGUAGAUAUUAGGAGGAACACCAGUGGCGAAGGCGGCUUACUGGACUGUAACUGACACUGAGGCUCGAAAGCGUGGGGAGCAAACAGGAUUAGAUACCCUGGUGGUCCACGCCGUAAACGAUGAAUACUAGGUGUCGGGGCUCAUAAGAGCUUCGGUGCCGCAGCAAACGCAAUAAGUAUUCCACCUGGGGAGUACGUUCGCAAGAAUGCAACUCAAAUGAAUUGACGGA